rnacentral:rRNA from 1 species
AGAGAGUUUGAUCCUGGCUCAGGGUGAACGCUGGCGGCGCGCUUAAUGCAUGCAAGUCGAGCGUGAUCGUGGCUUCGGCCACAAUGAUAAAGCGGCAGACGGCUGAGUAACGCGUGAGUAACCUGCCCUCCGGUGGGGUAUAGCCUCGGGAAACUGAGGAUAAUCCCGCAUACGACCUGCAUUCCUUGGGAUGCAGAUGAAAGGCUUCGGUCGCCGGAGGAGGGGCUCGCGUCCUAUCAGGUUGUUGGUGAGGUAAUGGCUCACCAAGCCGAUGACGGGUAGCUGGUCUGAGAGGAUGACCAGCCAGAGGGGGACUGAGAACGGCCCCCACUCCUACGGGAGGCAGCAGCAGGGAAUCUUGGGCAAUGGGCGCAAGCCUGACCCAGCGACGUCGCGUGGGGGACGAAGGCCUUCGGGUUGUAAACCCCUUUUCCGAGGGAAGAUACAAGACGGUACCUCGGGAAUAAGCCCCGGCUAACUACGUGCCAGCAGCCGCGGUAAUACGUAGGGGGCGAGCGUUACCCGGAUUUACUGGGCGUAAAGUGCGCGUAGGCGGUUGGAUAAGUCUCUUGUGAAAGCUCCCGGCUCAACUGGGAGAGGUCAAGGGAUACUAUUCGACUAGAGGACAGCAGAGGUAAGCAGAAUUCCCGGUGUAGCGGUGGAAUGCGUAGAUAUCGGGAGGAAUACCAGUGGCGAAAGCGGCUUACUGGGCUGUAUCUGACGCUGAGGCGCGAGAGCGUGGGGAGCAAACUGGAUUAGAUACCCAGGUAGU